GUCAACUUCCUGAACUUGUUGUUGUUGAACUUGUUCUUUUUCUUUUUCUUUUUCUCUCUUUGCGAGAGAGGGGGAGAGAGAGAAGAAGAGGAGGAGGGAGAGAGAAGAGAGGAGGAGAGGAGAGGUUCUCAUUUUUCCUAUUUUCUUUUGGUGGGGAAAACAAAAGAGAGAGAGGA
rnacentral:ribozyme from 13 species